GGCUCAGUGGUCUAGUCGUAUGAUUCGCGCUUCGGGAAAAUCUCCCUUACCUGUCUGAACAACAGGUGAAACUGUGCGAGGUCCCGGGUUCAAAUCCCGGCUGAGCCC